AGUGAACGCUGGCGGUAGGCCUAACACAUGCAAGUCGAACGGCAGCACAGGAGAGCUUGCUCUCUGGGUGGCGAGUGGCGGACGGGUGAGGAAUACAUCGGAAUCUACUCUGUCGUGGGGGAUAACGUAGGGAAACUUACGCUAAUACCGCAUACGACCUACGGGUGAAAGCAGGGGACCUUCGGGCCUUGCGCGAUUGAAUGAGCCGAUGUCGGAUUAGCUAGCUGGCGGGGUAAAGGCCACCAAGGCGACGAUCCGUAGCUGGUCUGAGAGGAUGAUCAGCCACACUGGAACUGAGACACGGUCCAGACUCCUACGGGAGGCAGCAGUGGGGAAUAUUGGACAAUGGGCGCAAGCCCGAUCCAGCCAUACCGCGUGGGUGAAGAAGGCCUUCGGGUUGUAAAGCCCUUUUGUUGGGAAAGAAAUCCAGCUGGCUAAUACCCGGUUGGGAUGACGGUACCCAAAGAAUAAGCACCGGCUAACUUCGUGCCAGCCGCCGCCGUAA
rnacentral:rRNA from 1 species